GACGAACGCUGGCGGCGUGCCUAACACAUGCAAGUCGAGCGGGAACCUCAGGAGGGGUAACCCACCUGAGGGGAGAGCGGCGAACGGGUGAGUAUCACGUGGGCAACCUGCCCCGGACACCGGGAUAACCCAGGGAAACCUGAGCUAAUACCGGAUACUCCGGCGCGACCACAUGGUCGCUCCGGGAAAGCCUUGACGGUCCGGGAUGGGCCCGCGGCCUAUCAGCUUGUUGGUGGGGUAACGGCCCACCAAGGCGACGACGGGUAGCUGGUCUGAGAGGACGGCCAGCCACACUGGGACUGAGACACGGCCCAGACUCCUACGGGAGGCAGCAGUGGGGGAUCUUGCGCUAAUGCGCGAAAGCGUGACGCAGCGACGCCGCGUGGGGAUGAAGGCCCUCGGGUUGUAAACCCCUUUCGGCAGGGACGAAGCGAAAGUGACGGUACCUGCAGAAGAAGUCCCCGGCUAACUACGUGCCAGCCGCCGCGGUAAC
rnacentral:rRNA from 1 species